rnacentral:lncRNA from 1 species
GAAAAAGACGAUUUUACCUGUUUUGGGCUCCGCCAUAUUGGGAUUACUGUAACUGCAUUUACGGUUAUCAUUUAAAUGCCACUGAUACACUUGUAUUAACGACUUUGAUUUGACCCGGUUGGGAAUCAAACAAACGACCAACCCAAACGAUCCAGGCAAGUAAGAUAGCACAAACCCGCUACAGCAGUGCUAUGAAAAAAAAGUAUUAAAGGUAAAAAAAAAAACCAAAACAAAACCCUAAAUUCUAAGGAAAAUUCAAAACGGAAAUUUUCUGAUCAUGCAUGUUCAAAAAUUAAAAACUCAAAUACAACAAACAAAUUGAAAAUAACGGUCAUAUUCCUUACUAGGUAUAUUCAAGAAUCAAAAUUAUUACAAGAACGUGAGAGAUUGGAUGAUAAACGCAGACAGUUGGAAGUGAAACGACAAGAAGAAAUAGAUCGAUUCAAUGAAGAGAAAAAGAAGUUAAAUGAAAAGUUAGACGAGAAAAUGUUGGCCCUAUUUGAAGGUAAAUUAGGAAUUUCUAUAAUUGUUCAAUGAUUUAAGGCUACAGUUGUUUACGAAACUGUUUAUUGUUAAAACUGUUUCGGUAAAAAAGUGUAUUUUCUUAAUCGUCGAAGAUUAAAUUGAUAGUAAGCUCUGAUCUGAACGUGCUCGGAAUACAUUUGAAAUAAAGCAGAAAGGAUGAAAUGAAAAUGUUUCCGGUUAUAUUAUCCACUUUUUAUGGUGACUAUGAUUAUAGUGUUCAAGUACUAUAUAACAAAAGUUAAUUAACAAAAGUACAGACCUCAAUUCAAAAUGGAAGUCCCUAAUCAAAUACAAAAUCUAAAGCUCUAACACAUUAAACCAAUGGAUAACAACUAUCAUAUAAAAGGCAUAUAUAUUCAAAGCACAUAAGCAAAGACAAAAGACAAGAAUACAAAAAAUUACCAUUGCACAAAAACACAAUGACGGGAUGUUUAAGAAACGAGACACGUCUCAUCCAUGUUACCAAGGUAUACUAAAUGGUAAAAGUAAUAAUUUAUAAGGACAAUAAAAAGAAUACAAAAAGACUUAAUUAAGAUUAUAAAAAAAACGUCAGUACCUAUAAUAAAUACUUCAUGACCAUCGUGUAUUAUUUGUGAAGUCAAAACGGAAUAUUUAUCAGCAAGAUCUUAAUAUCGUCCGAUAAUUUCUUUUAGGAAAAGGACGAGAAAUAUUUUAUUCAACACAUAAAUAAAGGCAACAGUAGUAUACCGCUGUUCAAAAUUCAUAAAACGACAGAGAAAGAACAAAUCCGGGUAACAAACUAAAACUGAGGGAAACUUAUCAAAUAUAAAAGCGAACUAUAACACAACAGAGACACAACACUGAAAUGUAAAACACACAGAAACGAACUAUAAUGUAUCAAUGGCCAUUUUCUGAUGUACAGGCAUUUAUGAAAAAAAGGUGGGUUGAACCUGGUUUUGUGGCAUGUUAAACCUCCCGCCUUAAUGGCAGUGUUAAUUAUAACAUUAGAAUGACAAUAUUACACGACAGGGCUACAAUAAAAUAAAUGUGCGAAAAUAUAGGAUAGAGAAACAAACGAAUAAUAGCCAUCAUAAGGUAACAAGGUUAAAAAAUAUUUGUAUACGCCAGACGCGUGCUACGUCUUCACAAAACUAGGUAAAAGACUGGUUUUGAUAACAAAAAUUUUAUUUUCGAUAGGAUACCAGAUGGGAUGUUUAUUUGGAAGUAAAUGUGACAGAGCUGAUGCAACUAUUGGUAAUCGCGGUAAAAUAUGGCACUACGACAUACCUAGUGAUGUAGUAUUUGUUUGUUGUCGAAGAGGUAAAAUAAUGUCACUUGAUGGAAGAAGGUGUAUCUGUAACUGAGGGAACGACUUGGACAUAGACAUACGGGUUUUUACAUUCACAAAAUCACCAAUAACAAAGUCACGUCGAAAUUUUACCUUCACAAAACCACCAAUCAUAAAGUCACGUCGGAUUUUUACCUACACAAAACCACCAAUCACCAAGUCACGUCGGUUUUUCACAUUGAAAAAGCCAUAAUCACAAAGUCACCUCUGGUUUUCACCUCUACAAAGCCAUUAUCACAAAGUCACGUCGGUUUUUCACCUUGACAAAUACAUCUUCACAAAGUCACGUCAGGUUUUCACCUUGACACAGCAAUCAUCACAAAGUCAAGGUACACAAUUCCAGGUCUGAUUAGCAGUUUAUGUUAGAUAACGAAACAAAUAUGUGACAGACAUACAGGCAGAUUUAUAACUGACAAUGUGGUACGGGUUUUAUUCAUUGCUUAACGCACAACAACGCAACACAACUAUGCAAUGGACAAUGCUAUGUCUUUAAAUUACAUAAUGAGGUACAUUACACACAAAUGAAGCAACUCUUUUAGUCUUUUAGUAGAUAAUUCCCAUUCUGCAAUGGUGUGUGCUAAUAACAUGUUAUCAAGGAAGGGUGGAGCAUGUUAUCUUAUCUUUCGUUUUUU